rnacentral:rRNA from 1 species
CAUGUCCAUACGACGAGGAUAACGGCUGGAAACGGCUGCUAAGACUGGAUAGGAAUAUAAAAGGCAUCUUUAAUAUUUUAAAGGACCUAAGGGUAUGCGUAUGGGGUGACUUGCGGCGCAUUAGCUAGUUGGUGGGGUAGAAGCCUACCAAGGCGAUGAUGCGUAGCCGGACUGAGAGGUUGAACGGCCACAUUGGGACUGAGACACGGCCCAGACUCCUACGGGAGGCAGCAGUAGGGAAUUUUCGGCAAUGGGGGGAACCCUGACCGAGCAAUGCCGCGUGAAUGAAGAAAUACUUAGGUAUGUAAAGUUCUUUUAUUGGGGAAGAAUGUUUUGUGUAGAACAAGAGUGACGGUACCCAUUGAGUAAGCCCCGGCUAACUAUGUGCCAGCAGCCGCGGUAAUACAUAGGGGGCAAGCGUUAUCCGGAAUUAUUGGGCAUAAAGGGUGCGUAGGCGGCAUGUUAAGUUUAAGGUAUAAGCUCAUGGCUCAACCAUGGGAGGCUUUAGAAACUGGCAUGCUAGAGUGCAGUAGAGGCAAGUGGAAUUCCAUGUGUAGCGGUAAAAUGCGUAAAUAUAUGGAGGAACACCAGUGGCGAAGGCGGCUUGCUG